rnacentral:rRNA from 1 species
GGGUUGUGAGGUUAAGCGACUAAGCGUACACGGUGGAUGCCCUGGCAGUCAGAGGCGAUGAAGGACGUGCUAAUCUGCGAUAAGCGUCGGUAAGGUGAUAUGAACCGUUAUAACCGGCGAUUUCCGAAUGGGGAAACCCAGUGUGAUUCGUCACACUAUCAUUAACUGAAUCCAUAGGUUAAUGAGGCGAACCGGGGGAACUGAAACAUCUAAGUACCCCGAGGAAAAGAAAUCAACCGAGAUUCCCCCAGUAGCGGCGAGCGAACGGGGAGGAGCCCAGAGCCUGAAUCAGUGUGUGUGUUAGUGGAAGCGUCUGGAAAGGCGUGCGAUACAGGGUGACAGCCCCGUACACAAAAAUGCACAUGCUGUGAGCUCGAUGAGUAGGGCGGGACACGUGGUAUCCUGUCUGAAUAUGGGGGGACCAUCCUCCAAGGCUAAAUACUCCUGACUGACCGAUAGUGAACCAGUACCGUGAGGGAAAGGCGAAAAGAACCCCGGCGAGGGGAGUGAAAAAGAACCUGAAACCGUGUACGUACAAGCAGUGGGAGCCUCUUUAAUGGGGUGACUGCGUACCUUUUGUAUAAUGGGUCAGCGACUUAUAUUCUGUAGCAAGGUUAACCGAAUAGGGGAGCCGAAGGGAAACCGAGUCUUAACUGGGCGUUAAGUUGCAGGGUAUAGACCCGAAACCCGGUGAUCUAGCCAUGGGCAGGUUGAAGGUUGGGUAACACUAACUGGAGGACCGAACCGACUAAUGUUGAAAAAUUAGCGGAUGACUUGUGGCUGGGGGUGAAAGGCCAAUCAAACCGGGAGAUAGCUGGUUCUCCCCGAAAGCUAUUUAGGUAGCGCCUCGUGAAUUCAUCUCCGGGGGUAGAGCACUGUUUCGGCAAGGGGGUCAUCCCGACUUACCAACCCGAUGCAAACUGCGAAUACCGGAGAAUGUUAUCACGGGAGACACACGGCGGGUGCUAACGUCCGUCGUGAAGAGGGAAACAACCCAGACCGCCAGCUAAGGUCCCAAAGUCAUGGUUAAGUGGGAAACGAUGUGGGAAGGCCCAGACAGCCAGGAUGUUGGCUUAGAAGCAGCCAUCAUUUAAAGAAAGCGUAAUAGCUCACUGGUCGAGUCGGCCUGCGCGGAAGAUGUAACGGGGCUAAACCAUGCACCGAAGCUGCGGCAGCGACACUAUGUGUUGUUGGGUAGGGGAGCGUUCUGUAAGCCGUUGAAGGUGUGCUGUGAGGCAUGCUGGAGGUAUCAGAAGUGCGAAUGCUGACAUAAGUAACGAUAAAGCGGGUGAAAAGCCCGCUCGCCGGAAGACCAAGGGUUCCUGUCCAACGUUAAUCGGGGCAGGGUGAGUCGACCCCUAAGGCGAGGCCGAAAGGCGUAGUCGAUGGGAAACAGGUUAAUAUUCCUGUACUUGGUGUUACUGCGAAGGGGGGACGGAGAAGGCUAUGUUGGCCGGGCGACGGUUGUCCCGGUUUAAGCGUGUAGGCUGAUUUUCCAGGCAAAUCCGGAGAAUCAAGGCUGAGGCGUGAUGACGAGGCACUACGGUGCUGAAGCAACAAAUGCCCUGCUUCCAGGAAAAGCCUCUAAGCAUCAGGUAACAUCAAAUCGUACCCCAAACCGACACAGGUGGUCAGGUAGAGAAUACCAAGGCGCUUGAGAGAACUCGGGUGAAGGAACUAGGCAAAAUGGUGCCGUAACUUCGGGAGAAGGCACGCUGAUAUGUAGGUGAAGCGACUUGCUCGUGGAGCUGAAAUCAGUCGAAGAUACCAGCUGGCUGCAACUGUUUAUUAAAAACACAGCACUGUGCAAACACGAAAGUGGACGUAUACGGUGUGACGCCUGCCCGGUGCCGGAAGGUUAAUUGAUGGGGUCAGCCGCAAGGCGAAGCUCUUGAUCGAAGCCCCGGUAAACGGCGGCCGUAACUAUAACGGUCCUAAGGUAGCGAAAUUCCUUGUCGGGUAAGUUCCGACCUGCACGAAUGGCGUAAUGAUGGCCAGGCUGUCUCCACCCGAGACUCAGUGAAAUUGAACUCGCUGUGAAGAUGCAGUGUACCCGCGGCAAGACGGAAAGACCCCGUGAACCUUUACUAUAGCUUGACACUGAACAUUGAGCCUUGAUGUGUAGGAUAGGUGGGAGGCUUUGAAGUGUGGACGCCAGUCUGCAUGGAGCCGACCUUGAAAUACCACCCUUUAAUGUUUGAUGUUCUAACGUUGACCCGUGAUCCGGGUUGCGGACAGUGUCUGGUGGGUAGUUUGACUGGGGCGGUCUCCUCCUAAAGAGUAACGGAGGAGCACGAAGGUUGGCUAAUCCUGGUCGGACAUCAGGAGGUUAGUGCAAUGGCAUAAGCCAGCUUGACUGCGAGCGUGACGGCGCGAGCAGGUGCGAAAGCAGGUCAUAGUGAUCCGGUGGUUCUGAAUGGAAGGGCCAUCGCUCAACGGAUAAAAGGUACUCCGGGGAUAACAGGCUGAUACCGCCCAAGAGUUCAUAUCGACGGCGGUGUUUGGCACCUCGAUGUCGGCUCAUCACAUCCUGGGGCUGAAGUAGGUCCCAAGGGUAUGGCUGUUCGCCAUUUAAAGUGGUACGCGAGCUGGGUUUAGAACGUCGUGAGACAGUUCGGUCCCUAUCUGCCGUGGGCGCUGGAGAACUGAGGGGGGCUGCUCCUAGUACGAGAGGACCGGAGUGGACGCAUCACUGGUGUUCGGGUUGUCAUGCCAAUGGCACUGCCCGGUAGCUAAAUGCGGAAGAGAUAAGUGCUGAAAGCAUCUAAGCACGAAACUUGCCCCGAGAUGAGUUCUCCCUGAGACUUUAAGUCUCCUGAAGGAACGUUGAAGACGACGACGUUGAUAGGCCGGGUGUGUAAGCGCAGCGAUGCGUUGAGCUAACCGGUACUAAUGAACCGUGAGGCUUAACCUUACAACGCCGAAG